AUUGAACGCUGGCGGCAGGCCUAACACAUGCAAGUCGAGCGGAUGACGGGAGCUUGCUCCUUGAUUCAGCGGCGGACGGGUGAGUAAUGCCUAGGAAUCUGCCUGGUAGUGGGGGACAACGUUUCGAAAGGAACGCUAAUACCGCAUACGUCCUACGGGAGAAAGCAGGGGACCUUCGGGCCUUGCGCUAUCAGAUGAGCCUAGGUCGGAUUAGCUAGUUGGUGGGGUAAUGGCUCACCAAGGCGACGAUCCGUAACUGGUCUGAGAGGAUGAUGAGUCACACUGGAACUGAGACACGGGCCAGACUCCUACGGGAGGCAGCGGUGGGGAAUAUUGGACAAUGGGCGAAAGCCUGAUCCAGCCAUGCCGCGUGUGUGGAGAAGGUCUUCGGAUUGUAAAGCACUUUAAGUUGGGAGGAAGGGCAGUAAGCUAAUACCUUGCUGUUUUGACGUUACCGACAGAAUAAGCACCGGCUAACUCUGUGCCAGCCGCCGCGGUAA
rnacentral:rRNA from 1 species